rnacentral:lncRNA from 1 species
ACAAAAAUGGAAUUAAAUGCAAAAUAAAUAAAUAACAAUAAAUAAAAUAAAUUAACCAAAAGAUAAAAGAGGAAAGAAGUCACCAUUUUGCUCGAGAAUCCUUCAAUUACUUGUACCGUCUCCCCGGCAAUGUCGUCAAAAUUUGAUUACACCCACAGAAUAACGCGGUGAUUGUAGUAUAGCUUUGGGGUGUCGUAUCCACAGGGAGAUGGAAAAUUUCUCAAAGGAUCAAACAAACUAGGGUUUUCGUAAUUAUAUGUGGGAAUGAUUUGUCACUUGGAAUAAAAGUUAAUUAUCAAUAUGCGAAAUUAGCGAAGCGUCGGAGUUCCCCCAUUGAAUUGGAUCAAUCAACAUCAAUAAUUCAUGUAUUUUUACUCAAUUAGAGGUUUUCUUCACAACUCUCUAAUUGGAAAAUUUAACAAUGAAGUCCAAUUUAAUUCCAAUUUAAUUUCUAGAAUCUAGAUUUUCU